rnacentral:rRNA from 1 species
UACAGAGGGUGCAAGCGUUAAUCGGAAUUACUGGGCGUAAAGCGUGCGUAGACGGUUACAUAAGUCGGGUGUGAAAGCCCCGGGCUCAACCUGGGAAUUGCAUUCGAGACUGCGUAGCUAGGGUGCGGAAGAGGGAAGCGGAAUUUCCGGUGUAGCGGUGAAAUGCGUAGAUAUCGGAAGGAACACCAGUGGCGAAGGCGACUACCUGGCCUGUUCUUGACGCUGAGGCGCGAAAGCUAGGGGAGCAAACGGG